rnacentral:rRNA from 1 species
AAGGCGUAACGAUUUGGGCACUGUCUCAACAACAGACUCGGUGAAAUUGUAAUUCCGGUGAAGAUGCCGGAUACCGGCGACAGGACGGAAAGACCCCAUGGAGCUUUACUGUAGCUUGACAUUGGGUUUUGGUACUACAUGUACAGGAUAGGUGGGAGGCUUUGAAACCAGGACGCCAGUUUUGGCGGAGCCAUCCUUGGGAU